CCUACGGGUGGCAGCAGUGAGGAAUAUUGGUCAAUGGCCGGAAGGCUGAACCAGCCAUGCCGCGUGAAGGUCAGUGCCCUAUGGGCGUUAAACUUCUUUUGUGCGGGAGCAAUAAUGGUCACGUGUGGCCAGACGAGAGUACCGUACGAAUAAGCAUCGGCUAACUCCGUGCCAGCAGCCGCGGUAAUACGGGGGAUGCAAGCGUUAUCCGGAUUUAUUGGGUUUAAAGGGUGCGUAAGCUGGGAGGUAAGUCAGCGGUGAAAUGCCCCCGCUCAACGGGGUGAAGUGCCAUUGAUACUGCCUGGCUGGAAUGCGGAUGCCGUGGGAGGAAUGUGUGGUGUAGCGGUGAAAUGCAUAGAUAUCACACAGAACACCGAUUGCGAAGGCAUCUCACGAAUCCGCGAUUGACGCUGAUGCACGAAAGCGUGGGUAUCAAACAGGAUUAGAUACCCGAGUAGUC
rnacentral:rRNA from 1 species